UCUGGGCUUCAUCUGCAAAACGGAAGCAUCAGACUAAAGUCCCUGAGGCUUGCCCAGUUCUAAUAGCCUUCCUCCCUUAUAUUUGAAAUCACUUUUAGAGUAUUGGGUUGUGCUGUGUUUAAUUAGCACCAGGAACCAAAGGGGGAAAAAUGGCCAUUAAGUUGCAAGCCUGAGUACAUCUUACCUGGAUGCCAUGCCCUUCGUAGCCUGGUUUUGUUUUUGUGUCUUUAGCACCAUUCACUUUAGUAUUUUGGCCUCCCG
rnacentral:lncRNA from 1 species